rnacentral:rRNA from 1 species
GUCUAUUUGAAGAUAUAAAAAGUUUAACCUGCCCACUGAUAAAUUAAUAUUAAAGGGCCGCGGUAUUUUGACUGUGCAAAGGUAGCAUAAUCGUUAGUUUUUUAAUUGGAAUCUUGUAUGAAUGGUUUGACAAAAGAAAAUCUGUCUUUAUAAUUAUUUAUUGAAUUUAACUUUUAAGUGAAAAGGCUUAAAUAAAUUAAAAAGACGAUAAGACCCUAUAAAGCUUAAUAUUAAGUUUUUAUUUUAUUGAAUUUUAACUGUAAUAAAAAUCUAGUAGAUAAAUUUAUUUUGUUGGGGUGACAAUGGUAAAAUGAUUGUUAACUGUUAUUUUUUUUAGACAAAAAUAAGUGAAUAAAAAUAAUUUAUUAUGAAGGAUCCUAUAUUAAAGAUUAAAAGUUUAAGUUACUUUAGGGAUAACAGCGUUAUUUUUUUUGAGAGUUCUUAUCGAGAAAAAAGUUUGCGACCUCGAUGUUGAAUUAAAAUAUCUAUAUAAUUGUAGUAGUUAUAUUAGAAGGUCUGUUCGACCUUUAAAAUUUUACGUGAUUUGAGUUCAGACCGGCGUAAGCCAGGUUGGUUUCUAUCUUUUAAUAUUAAAAGAAUUAUUUUAGUACGAAAGGAUUAAAUAAUUAAAAUUAUUUUUAAUAAUUGGAUAAA